UGCACCAUUUUUGUAUCGCCAUUUUUUCUCUCUCCUCACGCUAUAUGUAAUCUCAGCACUUUUUGCUGUAAUCAGUGAGGAGGAAUCGAGAAUUUCUAGGGUUUCGGUUUUGAUUUUGAUUUUUCACGUAUUUGGGUGUGGUGCAGUGUGUGUAAAAUAUCUAGGGUUUUCAUUGUGCCCUAAGUCAUCGUCGGCGUCGAAUUUCUGAGAAAAAAUGGCUGGAAAAAACGUGAUCUCCGAUGACGAAGAUGAAGUCGGAAUGGAGGAAGAGGAGAGGGAUGAUGAGCCAGUUGAUGGGGAUGGAGUGGAUGAGCGGGAAGACGAGGAUGAAGACGAGGAAGAAGAAGAAGGUCAGGAUGAAUAUGAGAAAGAUGGGUUUAUAGUGGAUGAUGUAGAGGAAGAAGAGGAUGAGGAUGAAGAUGAUAGAGCUGACAGUGAUGAUGAGAGGCAAAAGAAGAAGAAAAGGAAGAAAAGGGAGUCAGAGAGGAAUUACGUGCUUGAUGAAGAUGAUUAUGAACUUCUACAGGAAAGCAAUAUUGCGGUGCCUCGUCCAAAACUUGAGAGCAAAAAGUUCAAGCGGCUAAAAAAAGCUCAGAGGGAUAUGGAGGAUGAGGGUUCUGUUUUUUAUGAGGAGGAGGAGUUUGGUGAAACUGGCAGGCGAGGGCGUACAGCUGAGCAGAAGCUUGAGCGUAGCUUAUUUGGUGAUGAUGAAGGGCAACCACUUGAGGAUAUUGCUGAGGAGGAAGAAAGGCUGGAGGAAGAAGAGGAUGCUGACAUUGGUGAGGAAGAUGAAAUGGCAGACUUCAUCGUUGAUGAAGAAGAAGUUGAUGAACAUGGUGCUCCUAUUAGAAGGAAAAAGGUAAACAAAAAGAAGUCCAGGCAGGCAGCAGGAGUUUCGUCCUCUGCUCUCCAGGAAGCCCAUGACAUAUUUGGUGAUGUUGACGAACUUUUAAUGCGUCGAAAACAAGAUCGGGCCAAAUCCAGCAUGCAUGUUGAAUCCGGUGAAUGGAGUGAAAGGAGACUUGAAGACGAAUUUGAUCCUACUAUUCUAGCUGAGAAAUAUAUGACUGAGAAGGAUGAGCACAUUCGGAAAAUAGAUGUCCCUGAAAGAAUGCAGAUAUCCGAGGAAAGCACUGGUCCUGUAACACCUGAAACCAUCAGUAUGGAAGAGAGUAUCUGGAUCUACAAUCAGCUUGUUGCUGGUGUUGUGCCUCUUUUUAAGAAGAAAGAUGGUGGUACAUCUGAUGAAGAGAAAGAGCUACCAAUAGAUAAAGAUGACAUUAUGCGUUUUCUGGAUUUGAUGCAUGCGCAGAAGUUCGAUGUCCCGUUCAUUGCCAUGUACCGCAAGGAGGAAUGCAUGAGCUUAUUUAAGGACCCAGAAGAGGACGGAACUAGUGAUGAUGGUCCUAAAAAUUCUGACAAAAAACCUUCAGUAAGAUGGCAUAAGGUGCUUUGGGCAAUCCAAGAUUUAGACAGGAAGUGGCGCCUCCUUCAGAAGCGGAAGUCUGCACUUGAGUUGUACUAUAAGAAGCGUUUUCAGGAAGAGUCGCGUAGGGUGUAUGAUGAAACACGUCUAAAGUUGAAUCAGCAGCUCUUUGAAUCCAUUACUAAUUCACUCCAAGCGUCUGAGUCUGAAAGAGAGGUUGACGAUGUUGACUCAAAAUUUAACUUGCACUUCCCACCUGGAGAGGUCGGUGUGGAUGAAGGACAAUAUAAGAGGCCAAAAAGGAAAUCACAAUACAGUAUAUGCAGCAAAUCCGGCUUAUGGGAAGUGGCGAGCAAGUUGGGAUACAGCGCCGAGCAAUUUGGUAGACAUAUGUCUCUAGAAAAAAUGGGGGAUGAGCUGGAGGAUGCUAGGGAACCUCCAGAAGAGAUGGCAUCGAACUUCACCUGUGCAAUGUUUGAAACACCUCAAGCUGUGCUUAAAGGCGCUAGACACAUGGCAGCAGUAGAGAUCAGCUGUGAACCAAGUGUCCGUAAACAUGUGCGUACUACCUAUAUGAACCACGCCGUAGUAUCAACGAGUCCUACUCCUGAGGGGAAUACGGUGAUUGAUUCCUUCCAUCAAUUUGCUGGAGUCAAGUGGUUACGGGAUAAACCUCUCUCCGAAUUUGUGGAUGCACAGUGGCUUCUCAUCCAGAAGGCUGAAGAGGAGAAACUCCUCCAAGUUACUAUCAAGCUGCCUGAAGUUCAUCUUAACCAGCUGACAACUGACUCGAAAGAUCAUUAUCUCAGUGACGGUGUGAGUAAAUCUGCCCAGUUAUGGAACGAACAGAGAAAGUUAAUACUCGAGGAUGCAAUCUUCAAUUUUCUUCUGCCUUCAAUGGAAAAGGAAGCAAGAUCCUUGCUAACAAGUAAAGCAAAGAGUUGUCUUCUCAUGGAAUAUGGUAAUGUUUUGUGGAAUAAAGUGUCAGUUGGACCAUAUCAACGCAGAGAGAAUGAUAUUAGCUCUGAUGAAGAGCCUGCACCCAGGGUCAUGGCUUGUUGUUGGGGCCAUGGUAAGCCAGCAACCACUUUUGUGAUGUUGGAUUCGUCGGGAGAGGUUUUGGAUAUUCUGUAUGCUGGAUCUCUUAGCCUUCGUGGCCAGAAUGUUAAUGAUGAGCAGCGGAAGAAGAAUGAUCAGCAGCGACUGUUAAAAUUCAUGAUGGACCACCAACCACAUGUGGUGGUGCUGGGAGCUGUAAAUUUGUCUUGUACACGGCUUAAGGAGGAUAUUUAUGAGAUUAUUUUCAAGAUGGUGGAGGAUAAUCCAAGAGAUGUUGGUCAUGAGAUGGAUAAUCUGAACAUAAUAUAUGGAGACGAAUCCCUUCCGCAUCUCUAUGAGAAUUCCCGCAUUUCUGCUGACCAGCUUCCUACGCAGUCAGGUAUUGUGAGGCGCGCUGUGGCAUUGGGACGUUAUCUUCAAAAUCCUCUAGCAAUGGUAGCAACAUUAUGUGGACCAGGGAGGGAAAUUUUAUCUUGGAAGCUGAAUACUUUAGAGAGCUUUCUCACACCAGACGAGAAGUAUGAGGUGGUUGAGCAGGUUAUGGUGGAUGUAACUAACCAGGUGGGUGUUGAUCUUAAUUUGGCUAUAAGUCAUGAAUGGCUUUUUGCCCCACUGCAAUUUAUUUCGGGGCUGGGUCCCAGAAAGGCAGCAUCUCUUCAAAGAUCCAUGGUAAGACAGCAGACAAUCUUUACGAGGAAGGAUCUCUUAACUGAACAUCAUCUUGGUAAAAAGGUAUUUAUCAAUGCAGUUGGCUUCUUGCGAGUACGGCGCAGUGGAUACACUGCAAAUAGCAAUACAUAUAUUGAUUUGUUGGAUGAUACAAGGAUCCAUCCAGAAUCCUAUACUCUUGCACAAGAGUUGGCAAAAGAUAUUUAUCUUAAAGACAUGGGUGAAGAAGCUAAUGAUGAUGAUGAAGUGCUUGAAAUGGCAAUAGAGCAUGUUAAAGAGAAGCCACAUUUGUUGAGGUUGGUUAAUGCUUAUGAAUAUGCUAAUGAACAUAACCGUUUUGAUAAAAGGGAAACCCUUAAUGGUAUUAAGUUGGAGCUAAUGCAAGGGUUUCAAGAUUGGCGUAGACAGUAUGUCGAGCCAAGCCAGGAUGAAGAGUUCUAUAUGAUUUCUGGUGAGUCUGAGGAUACGCUUUCUGAGGGAAGAAUCGUGCAGGCAACAGUUCGUCGGGUUCAACCUCAGAAAGCUAUCUGUUCUUUGGAGUGUGGAUUGACUGGUAUUCUUUCCAAGGAAGACUCUUCAGAUGAUUGGAGAGAUGUCAAUGAUUUGACUGAAAAAAUGCGUGAAGGUGAUAUCCUAACUUGCAGAAUCAAGUCAAUCCAAAAAAAUAGGUACCAGGUUUUCCUGAGUUGUAAAGAGAAUGAUAUGAGAAAUAAUAGGUAUCAGAAUAAUCAGAACUUGGAUCCAUACUACCAUGAAGAUCGCACUAGCUUACAGACUGAAAAGGAAAAAGCUCGUAAAGAAAAGGAGCUUGCAAAGAAGCAUUUCAAGCCAAGGAUGAUAGUUCAUCCUCGAUUCAAAAAUAUAACAGCUGAUGAAGCUAUGGAGUUCCUCUCUGACAAAGAACCGGGUGAAAGCAUUGUACGUCCCAGCUCACGUGGACCAUCAUAUUUGACUUUAACUCUCAAAGUGUAUGAUGGAGUGUAUGCUCACAAGGAUAUUGUGGAAGGUGGAAAGGAACAUAAGGAUAUAACAAGCUUGCUGCGCAUCGGGAAAACACUGAAAAUAGGAAAGGAACAUAAGGAUAUAACAAGCUUGCUGCGCAUCGGGAAAACACUGAAAAUAGGAGAGGAUACUUUUGAAGAUUUAGAUGAGGUAAUGGAUCGGUAUGUUGAUCCAUUAGUAGCUCAUUUGAAGGCAAUGCUAAAUUACCGUAAGUUUAAGACGGGAACAAAGGCAGAAGUUGAUGAGCUUUUGAAAAUUGAGAAAUCUGAGUACCCUAUGAGGAUUGUCUAUAGCUUUGGUAUUUCUCAUGAACACCCCGGGACAUUCAUUUUGACUUAUAUACGAAGUUCCAACCCACACCAUGAGUAUGUUGGUUUGUACCCGAAAGGAUUUAAAUUCCGUAAGAGGAUGUUUGAAGAAAUUGAUCGCCUUGUGGCAUAUUUUCAAAGGCAUAUUGAUGAUCCCCAUGAUUCCGGUCCAUCAAUACGAUCAGUUGCAGCAAUGGUGCCUAUGCGCAGCCCUGCAAGUGGGGGUUCCUCAGGAUUUGGUAGCGGGUGGGGUGGUUCAUCCAAUGAUAGUGGUCGAAGAGGUGGUCAGUCUGGGGACAGAGAUAGGUCUUACGGUUCAGGUUCUAGAGCAGGUAGAAAUGACUACAGAAAUCGAAACAAUCAGGAUGAUCAAAGUGGAUUGCCACCAAGGCCCUACGGUGGUGGUGGUCGGGGACAUGGUCGUGGUCGGGGACGUGGUAGAGGAAAUAAUGAUAAUAAUGACGGACAGGAUUCGGAUUAUGGCUCUCAAAAGUGGAGUUCUAAGGAAGGUGGAGGAGGAGGUUGGGGUGAAAACCAAAAUUCACCUGCCAGGGAGUCUUGGGGUGGUGGUGCUGGAGGUGGUAGUGGAGACGGAGGUAGUUGGGGUGCCAGUCCUAGUGGUGGUUGGGGUGCUAGCCCUAGUGGUGGCGACAGCUGGGGAAAGGACACUGGUGGUGAGGCCGAGGAUUCUGGGUGGGGUGGCAGUAAAAAGUCCGGUGGCAGCGGAGGGUGGUGAUCAUGUAAUGGCUUUUGGAUAUACUACCAGUCUUGGCUUGUUUUCUUUGGCAAGCAUAGAUAGUUCAAACUUGCAUCCUUUUAACUGAAUUUGUUAAGCACUAUCUAUUAUCAUCUCUGUUUUACCUAUUCCCUCGCGAAAUUUUAGUGCAUCGGGUUGCCCUGCUUGUUAUACCUAUGUUUUG
rnacentral:misc_RNA from 1 species